rnacentral:tRNA from 1 species
UGGCUCAGAGGUUAAAGCAUCCGCCUGCAAUGCGGGAGACCUGGGUUCAAUCCCUG